rnacentral:rRNA from 1 species
GAAUUCAACUCCUACGGGAGGCAGCAGUGGGGAAUUUUGGACAAUGGGGGCAACCCUGAUCCAGCAAUGCCGCGUGAGUGAAGAAGGCCUUCGGGUUGUAAAGCUCUUUUACCAGGGAUGAUAAUGACGGUACCUGGAGAAUAAGCUCCGGCUAACUCCGUGCCAGCAGCCGCGGUAAUACGGAGGGAGCUAGCGUUGUUCGGAAUUACUGGGCGUAAAGCGCGCGUAGGCGGCUUUUUAAGUCAGAGGUGAAAGCCCGGGGCUCAACCCCGGAAUUGCCUUUGAAACUGGUAAGCUAGAAUCUUGGAGAGGUCAGUGGAAUUCCGAGUGUAGAGGUGAAAUUCGUAGAUAUUCGGAAGAACACCAGUGGCGAAGGUGACUGACUGGACAAGUAAUGACGCUGAGGUGCGAAAGCGUGGGGAGCAAACAGGAUUAGAUACCCUAGUAGUCCAGGCGUU